UACAGAGGGUGCGAGCGUUAAUCGGAAUUACUGGGCGUAAAGCGCACGUAGGCGGCUUGGUAUGUCGGGUGUGAAAUCCCCGGGCUCAACCUGGGAACUGCAUCCGAAACUGCCUUGCUAGAGUAUGGGAGAGGGAAGUGGAAUUUCCGGUGUAGCGGUGAAAUGCGUAGAUAUCGGAAGGAACAUCAGUGGCGAAGGCGGGUCUCUGGGCCGAUACUGACGCUGAGGAGCGAAAGCGUGGGGAGCGAACAGG
rnacentral:rRNA from 1 species